rnacentral:rRNA from 1 species
AUUGAACGCUGGCGGCAUGCUUUACACAUGCAAGUCGAACGGUAACAGGCCGCAAGGUGCUGACGAGUGGCGAACGGGUGAGUAAUGCAUCGGAACGUGCCCAGUCGUUGGGGAUAACUAGCUGAAAGCUUAGAUAAUACUGCAUACGUCCUACGGGAGAAAGCUAGGGACAUUCGGGCCUGGCGUUAAUGGAGCGGCCGAUAUCUGUUUAGCUAGUUUGUGGGGUAAAGGCUCACCAAGGCGACGAUCAGUAGCUGGUCUGAGAGGACGACCAGCCACACUGGAACUGAGACACGGUCCAGACUCCUACGGGAGGCAGCAGUGGGGAAUUUUGGACAAUGGGCGAAAGCCUGAUCCAGCCAUUCCGCGUGAGUGAAGAAGGCCUUCGGGUUGUAAAGCUCUUUCGCAAGGGAAGAAAACUUAAGCUCUAACAUAGCUUGAGGUUGACGGUACCUUGAUAAGAAGCACCGGCUAACUACGUGCCAGCCGCCGCGGUAA